UGCAGUCGAGCGGCAGCACAGAGAAACUUGUUUCUCGGGUGGCGAGCGGCCUGUUGGGUGAGUAAUGCCUGGGAAAUUGCCCUGAUGUGGGGGAUAACCAUUGGAAACGAUGGCUAAUACCGCAUGAUGCCUACGGGCCAAAGAGGGGGACCUUCGGGCCUCUCGCGUCAGGAUAUGCCCAGGUGGGAUUAGCUAGUUGGUGAGGUAAGGGCUCACCAAGGCGACGAUCCCUAGCUGGUCUGAGAGGAUGAUCAGCCACACUGGAACUGAGACACGGUCCAGACUCCUACGGGAGGCAGCAGUGGGGAAUAUUGCACAAUGGGCGCAAGCCUGAUGCAGCCAUGCCGCGUGUGUGAAGAAGGCCUUCGGGUUGUAAAGCACUUUCAGUAGGGAGGAAGGUGGUAGUGUUAAUAGCGCUAUCAUUUGACGUUACCUACAGAAGAAGCACCGGCUAACUCCGUGCCAGCAGCCGCGGUAAUACGGAGGGUGCGAGCGUUAAUCGGAAUUACUGGGCGUAAAGCGCAUGCAGGUGGUUUGUUAAGUCAGAUGUGAAAGCCCCGGGCUCAACCUGGGAAUUGCAUUUGAAACUGGCAAACUAGAGUACUGUAGAGGGGGGUAGAAUUUCAGGUGUAGCGGUGAAAUGCGUAGAGAUCUGAAGGAAUACCGGUGGCGAAGGCGGCCCCCUGGACAGAUACUGACACUCAGAUGCGAAAGCGUGGGGGAGCAAACAGGAUUAGAUACCC
rnacentral:rRNA from 1 species